AGCGAACGCUGGCGGCAGGCCUAACACAUGCAAGUCGAGCGAACCUUUCGGGGUUAGUGGCGGACGGGUGCGUAACACGUGGGAACGUGCCUCUAGGUUCGGACUCACUCAGGGAAACUUGUGCUAAUACCGAAUGUGCCCUUCGGGGGAAAGAUUUAUCGCCUUUAGAGCGGCCCGCGUCUGAUUAGCUAGUUGGUUGAGGUAAUGGCUCACCAAGGCGACGAUCAGUAGCUGGUCUGAGAGGAUGAUCAGCCACAUUGGGACUGAGACACGGCCCAAACUCCUACGGGAGGCAGCAGUGGGGAAUCUUGCGCAAUGGGCGAAAGCCUGACGCAGCCAUGCCGCGUGAAUGAUGAAGGUCUGAGGAUUGUAAAAUUCUUUCACCGGGGACGAUAAUGACGGUACCCGGAGAAGAAGCCCCGGCUAACUUCGUG
rnacentral:rRNA from 1 species